AAAGUCGUAACAAGGUCUCCGUUGGUGAACCAGCGGAGGGAUCAUUACAGAGUUGCAAAACUCCCAAACCAUUGUAAACCUUACCGUUACCGUUGCUUCGGCGGGUGGCUUUCGAGCCGCGCCAACCCCUCGGGGUAGGCAUCCCGCCAGAGGCACACUAAACUCUCGUAUUAAUUGGCAUCUCUGAGUAACUUAUAAAAUAAGUCAAAACUUUCAACAACGGAUCUCUUGGUUCUG
rnacentral:misc_RNA from 1 species